UUUUUUUUCUUUCCAUAGGCUUCUUGUUUUUAUCCCACCUAAGAAAAUAAGCUGAUGCAAAUAAUCACAACACUCGUCAACCCGUCUCCCAGAAUCCAGCUGCCCCACAUGUUUGUACCUUGUUCCACCCUCUGCACUGAGCGAAGAGUGAUCGUAAUGAAGGGCCAUCCUGAUUUUAUUGCCUGACUCUUUUUUAAAAAAGGAUGUUCUCAGGAUUCAAGGAGGAGCUCUAAUCACCAGGCCUGCAAAUCAAGCUGGAUGUCGGUGUGGGUACCCCACUUAUUUUAUCUUUACAGACUUCAUAGUCAUUUAAACAAACACUUCUACUCUUAUCCCUGCUGACGACUUCCGUAACCCUGAUUCUGCAUUUGGUAAUUACGCACAUUUUGUUUUUGCCAGUCAAAUUGCUACCAACUGACCUCUGCCACUCUUAAGAUUAUUCCUUCUC